rnacentral:miRNA from 3 species
UGCUAUGCCAACAUAUUGUCAUC